GACGGAGGAUGCAAGUGUUAUCCGGAAUCACUGGGCGUAAAGCGUCUGUAGGUGGUCAAAUAAGUCAACUGUUAAAUCUUGAGGCUCAACCUCAAAAUCGCAGUCGAAACUAUUAGACUCGAGUAUAGUAGGGGUAAAGGGAAUUUCCAGUGGAGCGGUGAAAUGCGUAGAGAUUGGAAAGAACACCGAUGGCGAAGGCACUUUACUGGGCUAUUACUAACACUGAGAGACGAAAGCUAGGGUAGCAAAUGGG
rnacentral:rRNA from 1 species